UACAGAGGUCUCAAGCGUUUGUUCGGAUUCAUUGGGCGUAAAGGGUGCGUAGGCGGCGCGGUAAGUCGGGUGUGAAAUCUUGGAGCUUAACUCCGAAACUGCAUUCGAUACUGCCGUGCUUGAGGACUGGAGAGGAGACUGGAAUUUACGGUGUAGCGGUGAAAUGCGUAGAUAUCGUAAGGAAGACCAGUGGCGAAGGCGGGGUCUCUGGACAGUUCCUGACGCUGAGGCACGAAGGCCAGGGGAGCAAACGGG
rnacentral:rRNA from 1 species